rnacentral:rRNA from 1 species
GACGAACGCUGGCGGCGUGCUUAACACAUGCAAGUCGAACGGAGCGAAAGAAAGCUUGCUUUUAUAAGCUUAGUGGCAAACGGGUGAGUAACACGUAGGCAACCUGCCGACAGGAUGGGGACAACAUUCCGAAAGGAAUGCUAAUACCGAAUGAAGUGCAGGGGAGGCAUCUCCCCUGCAUGAAAGAUGGCCUCUAUAUAUAAGCUAUCACCUGUCGAUGGGCCUGCGUCUGAUUAGCUGGUAGGUGAGGUAACGGCUCACCUAGGCGACGAUCAGUAGCCGGUCUGAGAGGAUGAACGGCCACAUUGGGACUGAGACACGGCCCAGACUCCUACGGGAGGCAGCAGUGGGGAAUCUUCCGCAAUGGGCGCAAGCCUGACGGAGCAACGCCGCGUGAGUGAAGAAGGUCUUCGGAUCGUAAAGCUCUGUUGAUGGGGACGAACGUACGGAGUGCGAAUAGUGCUCNGUAANGAC